CAAUAGCGUAUAUUUAAGUUGUUGCAGUUAAAAAGCUCGUAGUUGGAUUUCGGAUGGGAUUUGCCGGUCCGUCGUUACGAUGUGCACUGGCCAGUCCUAUCUUGUUGUCGGGGAUUAGCUCCUUGGAUUCACUUCCUGGGACUAGGAGCUGACGAGGUUACUUUGAGUAAAUUAGAGUGUUCAAAGCAAGCCUACGCUCUGAAUACAUUAGCAUGGAAUAACACGAUAGGACUCUGGCUUAUCUUGUUGGUCUGUGAGACCAGAGUAAUGAUUAAGAGGGACAGUCGGGGACAUUCGUAUUUCAUUGUCAGAGGUGAAAUUCUUGGAUUUAUGAAAGACGAACUUCUGCGAAAGCAUUUGUCAAGGAUGUUUUCAUUAA
rnacentral:rRNA from 1 species